AGAGCGAACGCUGGCGGCAGGCCUAACACAUGCAAGUCGAGCGCCCGUAGCAAUACGGGAGCGGCAGACGGGAGAGUAACACGUGGGAACGUACCCUUCAGUUCGGAAUAACCCAGGGAAACUUGGACUAAUACCGAAUACGUCCGUAAGGAGAAAGAUUUAUCGCUGAAGGAUCGGCCCGCGUCUGAUUAGCUUGUUGGUGAGGUAACGGCUCACCAAGGCGACGAUCAGUAGCUGGUCUGAGAGGAUGAUCAGCCUCACUGGGACUGAGACACGGCCCAGACUCCUACGGGAGGCAGCAGUGGGGAAUAUUGGACAAUGGGCGCAAGCCUGAUCCAGCCAUGCCGCGUGGAUGAUGAAGGCCCUAGGGUUGUAAAGUCCUUUCGACGGGAAGAUAAUGACGGUACCGUAGAAGAAGCCCCGGCUAACUCGCGCCAGCAGCCGC
rnacentral:rRNA from 1 species